rnacentral:rRNA from 1 species
GAUGAACGCUAGCGGCAGGCUUAAUACAUGCAAGUCGAGGGGGAUCAGUUGGGUAGCAAUACCUGGCUGUGAGACCGGCAAACGGGUGAGGAACACGUACGCAACUUUCCCAAAACUGGUGAAUAGCCCUCCGAAAGGAGGAUUAAUACACCGUAACAUAACGAAAUGGCAUCAUUUUGUUAUUAUAGCAGCAAUGCGGUUUUGGAUAGGCGUGCGCCUGAUUAGGUAGUUGGCGGGGUAACGGCCCACCAAGCCUACGAUCAGUAACUGGUGUGAGAGCACGACCAGUCACACGGGCACUGAGACACGGGCCAGACUCCUACGGGAGGCAGCAGUAAGGAAUAUUGCGCAAUGGGCGAAAGCCUGACGCAGCGACGCCGCGUGGGGGAUGAAGGUCUUCGGAUUGUAAACCCCUUUCGGGAGGGAAGAUGGAGCGAGCAAUCGUUCGGACGGUACCUCCAGAAGCAGCCACGGCCAACUUCGUGCCAGCAGCCGCGGU